rnacentral:tRNA from 1 species
AGGGCUGUGGCUCAGUGGUAGAGCACUUGUCUCCCACGUGCAAGACCCUGGGUUUGAUCCCCAGCACCACGU